GAAGAUAUAGCUCAGAAGUAGAGCACAUGCUUAGCAUGCAUGAGGUCCUGGGUUCGAUCCCUGGUACCUCUG
rnacentral:tRNA from 1 species